rnacentral:sRNA from 14 species
GUAAAUUACCCACCACUUCCCUUAGGGUAAGUGGGGGCUUUUAAAGCCCAGAGUUUACCCGACUAAGUGUUAAAUCACUACGAUUUUCAGGUCAUCUCA